rnacentral:rRNA from 1 species
CCUACGGGAGGCAGCAGUAGGGAAUUUUCGGCAAUGGGGGGAACCCUGACCGAGCAACGCCGCGUGAACGAAGAAGUUAUUCGUAAUGUAAAGUUCUUUUAACAGGGACGAAAGAGAAAUUUGACGGUACCUGAAGAAUAAGCUCCGGCUAACUACGUGCCAGCAGCCGCGGUAAUACGUAGGGAGCGAGCGUUAUCCGGAUUUAUUGGGUUUAAAGGGUGCGUAGCCGGAAUAUCAAGUCAGCGGGAAAAAUUCGGGGCUCAACCCCGUCGUGCCGUUGAAACUGAUGUUCUUGAGUGGGGGAGAGGAAUGCGGAAUGCGUGGUGUAGCGGUGAAAUGCAUAGAUAUGACGCAGAACUCCGAUUGCGAAGGCAGCAUACCGGCGCCCAACUGACGCUGAAGCACGAAAGCGUGGGUAUCGAACAGGAUUAGAUACCCCAGUAGUC